rnacentral:rRNA from 1 species
CGGGGGGGCAAGCGUUGUUCGGAAUUACUGGGCGUAAAGGGCGCGUAGGCGGCCUGCUAAGUCGGACGUGAAAUCCCUCGGCUCAACCGGGGAACUGCAUCCGAUACUGGUGGGCUCGAAUCCGGGAGAGGGAUGUGGAAUUCCAGGUGUAGCGGUGAAAUGCGUAGAUGUCUGGAGGAACACCGGUGGCGAAGGCGGCAUCCUGGACCGGUAUUGACGCUGAUGCGCGAAAGCCAGGGGAGCAAACGGGAUUAGAUACCCCGGUAGUCCUGGCCCUAAACGAUGAGUGCUUGGUGUGGCGGGUAUCGAUCCCUGCCGUGCCGAAGCUAACGCAUUAAGCACUCCGCCUGGGGAGUACGGUCGCAAGGCUG